rnacentral:lncRNA from 1 species
AUUUCCCACUGGCACCCUCCCACAACACGUGGGAAUUAUGGAAGCUGCAAUUCAAGAUGAGAUUUGGGUGGAGACACAGCCAAACCAUAUCAUUGACUGACUUAAAUUCAACAGAACUGUGCUUUGGAGGACAUCGUUGCGCUGCUGACUUCUAACACUGAGGAAAUACUGCUACACAACCUUGAACUACUUCACACAUCGAAAAAGAACACGUACUCUUUCUCUACCAAAAGUGAAUUUAUCAGUUACACAUACAAGGUGAUCCUGCCUUAUCCUGGAGAAAGAAAUGUUAUGCAAGAGGCCAAGAAGAAGCUAAACAAACAAGCCAUGAUGGAUUCCCAUCUCAGCUUAUUACCAUUGGGACAUGUCCUUUUUGUCCAAUCACAUUUCUACAUGGCAGUACAGUCUUCAUCAAACCUAAGCAUUAAAAAAAAAGUUUUCUCUGGGUCUUUGGGUCUUUUGUUUCGGAAGGCUCCUGUAUUACAUAAAACUUUGUUAAAUAAAUUUGUUAUACUUU